AUAAUUAAGAGAUUAUUUAGAGUGCCAACUUCACCACAACCUCGCGUUAUGGUGACUAAAUUUCUAAAUGUCGAAAUUCUGGAGCAUUCGGGAGUAGAAAAUGGCCUUUGGGGCAGAUUUUGGCACUAAAGGUACAAUUAUUCUGUAUAGGUGUACUUGACCUUGGAGUCACUCACUGACCUUCGUGGCGGUGCUGACCUUAAAGGUGUGAUUGUUUCCUAAAGCCUUUUUGUUUGGCCUCUAAAGGUGUGAUUGAUUCUUUUAAAUGUCAUUGAUGCUGGAGGUGUUGCUGGACACCGAAGAGCCCGAAUCUCCUCGAUUAUGGGUGGAAGCUCGGGGUAAAGAAGGUAGAGUAAGAGUGUUGCAACACUGAGAUCCUCGUGAUGCAAGAAAAUACUUUUUAGUGGUGUUCGUUGCCAACAGAUGGCGCCACCAAAAUCAACCGUUUGUCACCAGUUGUUCUCUGUACUGGUGUCGCCAUCUGUUGGUGACUGAGAUAACCAGAAGCGAAUAGAAAAAAAGUGACGCCCCGAAAUCACGGGGAAUUGACCCUCCUUACUUUACUUUCCUUGCUUUAAGGGUCGUUCAUCUCGAAAAUCUGAUUUUUUCGGUAUAAAUAAAGCAACAACACCCAGCUUGUAGUAGCCUUGUGGUUUUUAGAAAGUUUUGCGUAGGAUUCUUUAUUUGUUUUGGUUUCCUUCAACUUAAUUUACAUUUUUGUUGUGUUUUUUUUCUAAUGAGUUAGUUGGAUCCUUCUGUGAUAACCAGUGAAAGAUAUGUGCCAUACAGCUCUCCAGUGACGGUAAUCACAUUUAUCAUACGUCCGGCAGCGGUGUCAGUGGCCUCAUAAAUUUCGAAAUUGCGUACUAGUCGUCGUGGUGUCGUCCAGCCCAGCGCCAGUCCCACACAGAGAUUAUCAGUAAUCGUGUCGGGUCGUCGAUUAUCCAUAUCUCUGGAUACGACCUGACACACUUAGGGACUGACUCGGGUCGUCGAUUAUCCAUAUCUCUGGAUACGACCUGGCACACUUAGGGACUGACUCGGGUCGUCGAUUAUCCAUAUCUCUGGAUACGACCUGACACACUUAGGGACUGCCUCGGGUCGUCGAUUGCCAUGACGACCGUGUGAAUUGGUCCUUAGCGUUUAGUACUAGUCUUGAGACCUGAUAAGGUUGGUGUCAUUAAAUUGUUAGUUUACAUCCUACGGUUUUGAUGUUGAGAUUUCUAUAUCUUUUGUAUUGAAUCUAUUUGAAUAAACAUAUGUAACCAA